UGGGGAAUUUUGGACAAUGGGCGCAAGCCUGAUCCAGCAAUGCCGCGUGCAGGAUGAAGGCCUUCGGGUUGUAAACUGCUUUUGUACGGAACGAAAAAGCUCUCUCUAAUACAGGGGGUGCAUGACGGUACCGUAAGGAUAAGCACCGGCUAACUACGUGCCAGCAGCCGCGGUAAUACGCAGGGUGCAAGCGUUAAUCGGAAUUACUGGGCGUAAGGCGUGCGCAGGCGGGUUUGUAAGACAGAUGUGAAAUCCCCGGGCUUAACCGGGGAACUGCGUUUGUGACUGCAAGGCUGGAGUACGGCAGAGGGGGGUGGCAUUCCACGUGUAGCAGUGAAAUGCGUAGAGAUGUGGAGGAACACCGAUGGCGAAGGCAGCCCCCUGGGCCUGUACUGACGCUCAUGCACGAAAGCGUGGGGAGCAAACA
rnacentral:rRNA from 1 species